rnacentral:rRNA from 1 species
AGCAGCCGCGGUAAUUCCAGCUCCAAUAGCGUAUAUUAAAGUUGUUGCAGUUAAAAAGCUCGUAGUUGAAUUUCGGGAUCAAUACGUCGGUCGUACUUCGGUACGUACUGGCGUCAUUGAUUUCUCCCUUCUGACGAACCAUGAUGUCAUUAACUUGGUGUCAUGGGAAAUCAGGACUGUUACUUUGAAAAAAUUAGAGUGUUUAAGGCAGGCUCACGCUUGAAUACAUUAGCAUGGAAUAAUGAAAUAGGACGUUCGAUCCUAUUUUUGUUGGUUUUUAGGAUUCAACGUAAUGAUUAAUAGGGAUAGUUGGGGGCAUUAGUAUUCAAUUGUCAGAGGUGAAACUCUUGGAUUUAUUGAAGACUUAACUACUGCGAAAGCAUUUGCCAAGGAUGUUUUCAUUAAUCAAGAACGAAAGUUAGGGAUCGAAGACGAUCAGAUACCGUCGUAGUCUUAACCAUAAACUAUGCCGACUAGGGAUCGGGAUGAUGUUAAUUUUUUAAUGUACUUCUAUUCGGCGCCUUACGGGUAAAA